GGUUCUCCACCCCCACCCCCCCAGCUGAGUGGAGGAGUUGAUGUGUCUCAUUAUAACAGCCAAUGCAGCCGCCAUCCACGCAAAGCAAAGAAGCAUGUCCCAUUUAAAUACACCCACGCAGCCCUAGCGCCCUUAGUUGAUCAGGGCGCGCAGCCCACACUCACCGCGGCUCCGAGCUUGGAGAUCCGCGCAGGUUGGGCUCCCGGACCCAGCGGACAGACGAGCGGAGGAUCGGGAUCGGACUUCGUGGGGCUGGGGUGGGCGGGGGAGGCUGGGCCCGGUGCCUCUGGUGCGACACCCGCAUGAGGACGCGAGCGAAAUAGACCAAGGUGGAAUUUCCAAGGGAGCAGCUUCGGAGUGGUUUUGGUCCAUUUCUCCAGCGAAGUAGACAUGGCGAGCGACUCCCCUGCUCGAAGCCUGGAUGAAAUCGAUCUCUCGGCUCUGAGGGACCCUGCAGGGAUCUUUGAGUUGGUGGAACUUGUUGGAAAUGGAACCUAUGGGCAAGUAUAUAAGGUACUUCGAGAGAUACUUCAAAACUUUCCAAAGCAUCAUUCUCUGAAGAAUCCUACCACAAAGCCCUCUCCCGUUCCCUGUGUGAAUCUUACCCAUGAGUGCUCCAAGGAGGGGUGCUGGGUGCCAAACCCUCUCAAUAACCCCAGUGUUCAAGUCUGGGCGCAUUGAUUUAUGAAUACCUGGUUAAGUUGAUGAGUAACACCGUGGUCAAAUGGACUCUUGAAAUUUCGUCCAGUGCUAUGCAUCAUGGUACAACUGUCAUUCACGCCCAUGUAUUUGUGAGCCUCUAAAAGUAAGAUAAGUGUUGAUAGACUUUCUCUUUGUACCCUAGUCAUCACAUGUUAUUUGUCCCUCAGCAGUCUGUGCUCUACGUGAUCAAUGUUGAAUACUUCUUACUCUGUGCCUCAGUAUCUCGGGAGGAUCUUUGCAUUUCUAACAAUCAAAUUCAGAGGUUAGCUGGGAUAUGGUGCCCAUUGCUGACUGAGAGUAUGGACUUAGGAUCUUGUUUUUCAGAGAGCCCAAGGGGGAAGACACAAAGAGCAGGAGUCCUAGGCAGUUAGUCUUCUGCCCACCUAGUCCUGCUAACAAGCUGCCCCUUUGGUGCUCCAAGGUCCCGAUUAAAGCACAGGAGGCUAUCAAUGAGGAACCAGACUGGGUACUCAAAUUUCAGUAUUUAUUGCCACAAUAAAUAAGAUUCUGUUUUGGGUUAGAGUAGAAGCAAUGGAAGUGCCUAAUGUCAAAUGCAUUUUAAAAGUUGGGGGAGUGCUGGGGACAUACUCAGUGGUGUGUGCUUGCCUACCAUGUUCAAGAGCCUGGAUUCCAUUCCCAGCAACACAGAAGAAGGGGAAAGGGUAAGUAUAUUUGUGUAUCUCUGAAUCUCUAUCAUCUGCUAUAUCUCCAUUUGGCGUUUGUGCUGAGUUCCAGGCUUUAGUAGGAUUCAAUUUUUCUCUAUGGUGCUAGUAGUUCAAGACGGUUCUCGUCCUAGUGGCAGUGUCUCAUCCUAAUGUAAAUAUAACUGUGGUCUUAAAAGCUGAUUCUGCUAGAAUAGUGGCACUUUGUGCUAACACAUUUUUAAGGUGGGUUUGGAGAGUAGAAGAUAGUUACAGAAAAUUCUCCAAAGCCAGGUGUGAUGUUGCAUGUCUGUAAUCCUAGCACUCGAGGCUAAGGCACAGGCGUCUUAAGUUCGAAGCUAGCCUAAGCUACAUUGUGAGACCUUGUCUCAAAUAAAUGAAUAAAUCACUCUCCAAAAUAAUCAUUGAAAGGAAUUGCAAAUAUCAAAUUUGACAAAGUUCUGGGACUAUAAACAUCACUGCCCAGUAUUGCUAAGAGAAAGAAAAAUGUUAACCUUUGAACACAGUGUGAAGCCCUGGGCAUCCUGGUGCAAGACCCAAAGGCUAGGAUCUGACAGGCAAAGCAUGGCCCAGUGGAAGGUCACCUUGGGGAGGAAUGUUAACUAUCUUUCCAGGAUGAACUCUUUUAAUAGUUUGUUAAAGAGCCACCUCUGUAGCUAGGCAUUUCAUAGAUUUAACAUGCGCUUGAUGGCGGUUCUUCCCUUGUAAGUUGUGAUUAGUGUAUCUCUUUAAAGCUCGAGGGUUAACUAGCCUUGAUCUGGGAACAAUACAGUCAGCACGAAUAAGUGAACAUGUAUGUACCAUGUGUGUUAUAGCAUACAUGAAAUGCUCCAGACUGGCCUCCGUACCACAUUAAGUAGGUACUUAUUAUGUCUGCUUUCUGGAUGAAGUUUGACUUGCCCUAGGUCAUACUGACAAUAAAGGACACAGCUGGACUCGAACCCACAACCCUUUGACACCAGUGACUUAACAGCUGUAAUUCAUUGGCUCGAUGAAAGAAUGGUGAGGCUUCCAGCUCAACUCGGGCUCAGUGAUCUAACCUUUAAUGAAAAUUUUUCUGGUUUAACUGAGAACUACUGUUUCUAGUUUUUAGGAUCCUCUUUAAGAUAGAGAAAGCAACUGGCAAGCCAUUUUUCCAUUAGUAUUAUUUAUGGGCUUUAUUUCUCUUUUCUUACCAUUUCAAAAAGGUUAUUCUGCUGCUCACAAAUGACCUGGUAAUGCUACCCAUAUGUUGAAAUAAAUGUCCUUUACAAGAAUGCCACCUAAGAGGAAAGGUAACUGAAAGGUAGAAACCCACUCAAAAUAUCUUACUAUUCCAGAAAGUUCUUUGGCUUGGGUCAGUCAGAUAACCUUGACACCACUUCUGCAUUUCUGAGUACAUUAAAACUUCAUUAAUUUUCAGAAAGGAGACUUGGGCUGAACUUGACCUUUUAAAGUAGCUUUGAAGGAAGACUACCAAGCACUUUAAGAAUAUAAACAGAAGUUUAAGAAGUUUGUUGAAAAGCCUCUGUCCUUAAGUGCCCUCAGCAAAUGAACGGAGAGC